rnacentral:rRNA from 1 species
GAAUAUUGCACAAUGGGCGCAAGCCUGAUGCAGCGACGCCGCGUGAGGGAUGACGGCCUCGGUUGUAACUACUGUUAGCAGGAAGAAGAGAAAUUAGACGGUACCGUGCAGAGAAAGACGCCGGCUAACUACGUGCCAGCAGCCGCGGUAAUACGUAGGGUGCAAGCGUUGUCCGGAAUUAUUGGGCGUAAAGAGCUCGUAGGCGGUUUGUCGCGUCUGCUGUGAAAUCCCGAGGCUCAACCUCGGGUCUGCAGUGGGUACGGGCAGACUAGAGUGCGGUAGGGGAGAUUGGAAUUCCUGGUGUAGCGGUGGAAUGCGCAGAUAUCAGGAGGAACACCGAUG